rnacentral:rRNA from 1 species
CGCUUUCACUCCUACGGGAGGCAGCAGUGGGGAAUAUUGCACAAUGGGCGCAAGCCUGAUGCAGCCAUGCCGCGUGUAUGAAGAAGGCCUUCGGGUUGUAAAGUACUUUCAGCAGUGAGGAAGGCGGGUACGUUAAUAGCGUGCUUGUUUGACGUUAGCUGCAGAAGAAGCACCGGCUAACUCCGUGCCAGCAGCCGCGGUAAUACGGAGGGUGCGAGCGUUAAUCGGAAUUACUGGGCGUAAAGCGCAUGCAGGUGGUUUGUUAAGUCAGAUGUGAAAGCCCGGGGCUCAACCUCGGAAUUGCAUUUGAAACUGGCAGACUAGAGUACUGUAGAGGGGGGUAGAAUUUCAGGUGUAGCGGUGAAAAUGCGUAGAGAUCUGAAGGAAUACCGGUGGCGAAGGCGGCCCCCUGGACAGAUACUGACACUCAGAUGCGAAAGCGUGGGGAGCAAACAGGAUUAGAUACCCUGGUAG